AUGUGUGUGCCAAAAGAGAGAGGUGGUAUGGGAUUCAGAGAUGUGCAUAGUUUUAAUCUAGCAAUGCUAGCUAACCAAUGUUGGAGGCUAACUGAAAAUUAUGAUUCACUCUCUACAAGAGUAAUUAGAGCAAGAUACUAUCUGAAUGGUGAUUUAUUAAAUUCUCAACUGAAAAAAGGCCAUCCUAUGUGUGGUGAAGUAUUUGGUCAGAUAUCCAAACUUUCAAGAAAGGACGUAUCUGGCGAGUGGGAGAUGGAGAAAAGAUCAACAGAAUGA
rnacentral:rRNA from 1 species